rnacentral:rRNA from 1 species
GACGAACGCUGGCGGCGUGCUUAACACAUGCAAGUCGAACGGUGAACCUCUUCGGAGGGGAUCAGUGGCGAACGGGUGAGUAACACGUGGGCAACCUGCCCCCGGCUCUGGGAUAACUCCAAGAAAUUGGGGCUAAUACCGGAUGUUCACCGCUUCCCGCAUGGGUGGUGGUGGAAAGGGUUUCCGGCUGGGGAUGGGCCCGCGGCCUAUCAGCUUGUUGGUAGGGUAGUGGCCUACCAAGGCGACGACGGGUAGCCGGCCUGAGAGGGUGACCGGCCACACUGGGACUGAGACACGGCCCAGACUCCUACGGGAGGCAGCAGUGGGGAAUAUUGCGCAAUGGGCGGAAGCCUGACGCAGCGGCGCCGCGUGGGGGAUGACGGCCUUCGGGUUGUAAACCUCUUUCAGCAGGGACGAAGCGCAAGUGACGGUACCUGCAGAAGAAGCACCGGCCAACUACGUG